rnacentral:rRNA from 1 species
AGUGAACGCUGGCGGUAGGCCUAACACAUGCAAGUCGAACGGCAGCACAGUAAGAGCUUGCUCUUACGGGUGGCGAGUGGCGGACGGGUGAGGAAUACAUCGGAAUCUACUUUUUCGUGGGGGAUAACGCAGGGAAACUUACGCUAAUACCGCAUACGACCUACGGGUGAAAGCAGGGGAUCUUCGGACCUUGCGCGAUCGAAUGAGCCGAUGUCGGAUUAGCUAGUUGGCGGGGUAAAGGCCCACCAAGGCGACGAUCCGUAGCUGGUCUGAGAGGAUGAUCAGCCACACUGGAACUGAGACACGGUCCAGACUCCUACGGGAGGCAGCAGUGGGGAAUAUUGGACAAUGGGCGCAAGCCUGAUCCAGCCAUACCGCGUGGGUGAAGAAGGCCUUCGGGUUGUAAAGCCCUUUUGUUGGGAAAGAAAAGCAGCAGGUUAAUACCCCGCUGUUCUGACGGUACCCAAAGAAUAAGCACCGGCUAACUUCGUG